rnacentral:lncRNA from 1 species
UCAUACCAAUCACCACUGAGAAGCCCAAUCACUACAACCACUAACCACAACAUAAAUCAACGUGAGGACCUGAGAGCUCGCUUGCUCCCACUCUGUCCCUAGCCCAGCCUGGUUUUUCCAUCACAUGCUUCUUAGGCAGCAGGGAGCUGAGGCAGGGGGAACAUUUAGUUCCUUUUUCAAAGACUGGGGACACUUAAAAAUAUCUCCAAGUAAGCAACCAGCAUUCAGAGGAUGCUUAUUUACACUUUGUAGGAGCCUGGUGUUGGGACUCUGGCUCCUGGAUGGCCUCAAACCUGCCCUUGGGCUUGGCUGAGGCUGGUCUGGGAGUACCAUUUGCAAAUGGCUCUUGCUUCACGGUUGCAUCUCCAUCUGGGUAAACAACCUAGAGACAGCCCUGGCUCUUCUUAAGGCUGUC